GCCGCUCCCAUUUAAAAUGUGAAUUUGUAGAUAAUACUGAGAUUUCUUGCAAGAUAUCGCUAAUUUGGCAUUGAUUUGCAUUGAUUUGCAUAGUAAAUUGCAAACCUGCGCGUGGCUCAUUUUCAAAAGUUAUCUUCUUACAUAAGUUAUUGAACUGAUCUUCAGGAUGGAGUUGGUGCGGUCACUGAAGGCGUUUUCUGACGGCUCCCAAGUUUUUUUUGACUCCUUAACAGG